AUCAUGGCUGUGAUUGAUUCGUUUGGUUAAUAACUUUGACUUGGCGAGUCUGUUGUGCAAGUGUUUCAACUGUGAUGGAUAGAACUGGGAAAGAAAUGUUCCUGCUUGUCAAUUAGUAAUUUCAUAUUUCGAGAGAAUGGAUGGGAAUAUGCGUUACGUACCUUGGAGAGCAGCGAGUGAAGGAUCAAGGGUUGAAUUAGUGUGUGACAUAGCAAAAUCAUAUCAUCACAGCUCCAUGCAAUUCAGAAUGUGUCACUUGAACAUGUUAAGGCAAUUGAAUAGUAAAUGGAGUAAUGGAAACCAUCUACAAAGAGACUGGUGCAGUUAGUACUUUGUGUUGGAGUGCAAAAAAUAAAAGCUGCUGACUGCAAGCCGGUAAGAGCACUGGAUUGACAGAUUUUUCCGGGUUUCAAGGUACUUAUUACUGGACAAGUGGAUUGUUACAGAGGCACCGUCAUGUUGGAAGAACACAAUUUACAGCUAAUUGGUGAAGCUGAUUCGCUGCUUAUAUCAAAUGCACCAAAGAAUGUUUUGGCAAGGGCACUGACCAACCAACAAAUCUUAGGCAAAGAAAUGAGGCAGCAUUCCUUGUUGAAGAUGAUGACAGUGACACCAUUUUUGUGCAGGGAGUAGGUUCACAAUUGAGUCAGCUGGAAGAACAACAGCAAAGGUUGGAACAACACUCAGAAAAUGCUAGAAAUGUUAACGACAGGCCAUGAGAGGAAGUACACCCAUUUGAAGAUGCGUACCAGAGAGAAGUGGAGAUGAUGGACAUGGAAGAUGAUAUAGAAACAGUAGAACACCAGGCAUUGUUUGCUAUAUCCAGUAAACAUACUGUUUCACAUAGUCAAAGCAGUAUUUCUAAGAGAGAGAAUCGAGCGAAUGGUGGCAUUGUGGUAGAAAUAGUGCUGCUCAGAGAUUAUGACUUUUCCUUAAUGUCUCAUUUACUGGUCUUGAACUGACUACAGAACUAAACCGAAGGCUAGAAAUUGUAGAAGUCGUAAAGACUACCACAAAUUUGUGUAGGAGUGCAAGCCCAAGAAGAGAACCCGAGGUUAUAUCUCAUUUAGAUGAUUCGGAUGUCUCAGAGUUUGUUCAUGCAGCCUGGUCUGGGUGAUAUAUGCCAUGAUGGUGAAUAAUUCCUAUAAACUGCAAAAGGAAAGUGCAGGCAAGUUCCAGACGCUGCUUGCAAUGACAGUGAACUUGAAAGAUGAGAAUCAAGCAAAAGUCAGUUCCUUUUUUAGUAGAGGCUGUACUUCAACAAACAGACAACAUUCUGAAUUAUCCAAAAUUGAUUUUCGUGCUGCUGUUGAGAAACAUAGUGAGGAAGAGCCUAGAACAGCUCAGAUUUCACUGCGACAUGGUCAUGUGUGUUUAGGAAACUUUUUUUGGCCCAUUUGUUGAACCUGCAUUUGAAGACCACAGCCAGCCAUCCAUCCAUCCAGCCAUCCAUCCAUCCAUCUCUUCUGUUAGUAAUAUUGAGGAAAGUGUCUGGUGAUUGACAGGAAACCAUUUUUUUAUAUACGACAAAGAAAAGUUGCAAAACUAACUACAGCUGCUGUGUCCACAGUGAAGAGGUUUCUUUUGCCUUUGACAUCCUUUCUCAAGACAAAAUUUGAUGGUUGGUAUCUGACCAUAAAGCUGUGUGAUGGAUCAGCAACAUUGGAAGUUCUGUUUCCCUCUAAUAUAUUUCUUCUUGAAGCAAGCUGUGUUGUAUAGUGUCACCUGGAAGAAGAGGCCUCAGAAGUCACAAAAUGGUUCACUUUUUAACAAGAUUAUGUAAGUGAAAAAAACCAUUCAAGCAUAUAUUACAGAUGGAAGUAAUUAAGCUACAUCUAAAAUCAUGGAUUUUUCAAGUGUCACGUAAAUUCCACAUAAUUAAACUAUUAACAGUCAAGAGCUUUAUUUUGAUAUAAAUAUAUUUUACAUUGAAAAAGCAUUGUAUGAGUUCAGUCAGAACUGAUUCUUGAGUGUACUGAAAGAAGAGGCUGCAUCAAGAGCACCACUCAAGGUCUGAGAUGUAUACAAAUUUUCAAGAUCCCAGCAAUAUAUUGUCACUAUGCUGUAGAGAUACUUGCCAUCAUUUGAUUGAUUUCCAUCAGCUGUAGUUUUAAAAUGAAACUUCUCAAGUUAA